GGGCCAAAGCCCAGUGGUAGAGCAUCUGCUUUGCAUGCAGAAGGCUGGCCCAGGUUGAAUCCCCCGAUGGCAACU